CCCAGCUGGAUGGAAUGUUACAGUGACAAGCCACCUAGAACACUGUGAUGCAGGCAACACUUGUUUAACUACUGUUUUGUGGGUCUCUAAAGGAGGAACUGAGCUGUAUCCUGAUUAGUACAACGUUCAAGACUGGUUCAGCAUUGAACACACGCAAGUCACUCUCUGGCAAAACUAUUACCUGAUUGGGUUGUUUUGCUGUUCAACAGAACAAUUCUCAUACUUCAUUCUACUGCAACUAUUUCAAAGACUCUCAUAACUUCAACUUGGUCACCUUCCUGCACCCUGGCGAAGAAGGCGCUUUGUUUUCCCCUUCACCUUCUACCGUGAUUGUACAUUUUCUGAGGCCUCCCCAACCAUGCUGAACCGCUCCAGUUGCUGAGGACACUUCAAACAAGUCGGCUAGUUCCACCUCUGACCCUCAUGCCUUGUGUUUCCACUUGCCCGGCCUGACCCCUGGGCCUCUCUAGCACUGUUCAGGUUUCAGCUCAGUGGCACCUCCGUAAGUAACAUUUUUACUCUAUGCCU